AUCUGAAAGCUACACCCAUUGAAAGAUGUUUGGACCAAAUUCCAAUUUUUACUGUUUUUCAAGAAAAUCAUCAGGUGGAAAAGCGGAAAUGCAACACUGCCACAUGUGCAACGCAGCGCCUGGCAAAUUUUUUAGUUCAUUCCAGCAACAACUUUGGUGCCAUUCUCUCAUCUACCAACGUGGGAUCCAAUACAUAUGGCAAGAGGAAUGCAGUAGAGGUUUUAAAGAGAGAGCCACUGAAUUACUUGCCCCUUUAGAGGACAAUGUAACUCUAUAGUUAUUGUUUUAUGUUCUAGUGAUUUCCUGUAUAAUUUAACAGUGCCCUUUUCAUCUCCAGUGUGAAUAUAUGGUCUGUGUGUCUGAUGUUUGUUGCUAGGACAUAUACCUUCUCAAAAGAUUGUUUUAUAUGUAGUACUAACUAAGGUCCCAUAAUAAAAAGAUAGUAUCUUUUAAAAUGAAA
rnacentral:lncRNA from 1 species